UACAGAGGGUGCAAGCGUUGCUCGGAUUUACUGGGUGUAAAGCGUACGCAGACGGUGAGAACGGUCGGAUGUGAAAGCCCCGGGCUCAACCCGGGAACUGCAUCCGAAACCAUCUCGCUAGAGUAUGGGAGAGGGAAGCGGAAUUCCUGGUGUAGAGGUGAAAUUCGUAGAUAUCAGGAGGAACAUCUGCGGCGAAGGCGGCUUCCUGGCCCAUUACUGACGUUCAGGUACGAAAGCGUGGGUAGCAAACAGG
rnacentral:rRNA from 1 species